UACGAACUGUGCAAACGUUAUUCGGAAUCACUGGGCUUACAGGGUGCGUAGGCGGCCAGACAAGUAGGGUGUGAAAGCCCCCGGCUUAACCGGGGAAUGGCGCCCUAAACUGUAUGGCUGGAGUGAGAUAGGGGUGUGCGGAACUUCCGGUGGAGCGGUGAAAUGUGUUGAUAUCGGAAGGAACGCCGGUGGCGAAAGCUGCACACUGGAUCUCAACUGACGCUGAGGCACGAAAGCCAGGGGAGCGAACGGG
rnacentral:rRNA from 1 species